UUUGCGAGUUGUAUCCAAUGCACAUUGAAAAGCCUUUAUGUUUACUGUGUCUUUGCUGACACUGAGUCUUAAGGGACUAAUCCGGCACCCAAGAUACGGACAUCAGCAUGUGUCAGUGUGGGAGGAGGAGUUUCAAGGACACUGAAACAGCCAUGAUGAAACUAAUCCUUAUUAGUUCUAUAUUGAAUUCCAGCCGUAACUUUUGUUCCAUUUUCAAGACGAAACGAACGCCUUCUGUGGAUGCUCGAGAAUCCGUCAGACCCAGAGAAACAAAAACUUUACCUGCAAUUAAGUUUCCAGACUUUUUCGCAAACAGAAUUUCUGCGCUUGCAAGUGAAAUUGCCAAACUCAGGUGAAACUGACGCUGACUCACCUGCAUCCUCAGAAGACAAGAAAACUCUCCUGGAAUUGUGACAACAUUUCUCCCUUCCGCAAUACUAUGAAAACCAGAUUAACUCGUUACUGUUCAUGAGAUGCUGCUGCGGCAGGAUGACUGAAUUUCAAAACAAACCAACUAUGAAGUGCUUUGAUGUGACAAGAUACUGCAUAAAAACAAGUACAUAUUAUUAGUUUUAUUUACUGAAUGUUAAAUGCUGCAGGGAAUACACUCAGUACAAUGCAAUACAAUUUCCAUCAUGUCAAUUAUUUCAGUUUCAAAAUCAGCAAAAUCAAUCACACAAUAUUAUUACAAUGCAUUGAAAUUAUAAACCUUUGCAUAGUAAUCACUUGUAUAAAACAUAUUUAUUUACAUUUCCUGAAUAAGAUCAUAUUGAAGGAGCUUUGGUUGUCCAUCAAUUGCUCCUUUAAUUAACAUGCAACCUCUUUAUUAUAAGAGUGAGACAGUACACAUUUCACAUCUUAUAUUGUUGAGAUUUUACAGCUAGGAUAUAGCAGUGGCACACUGCAUUACCGAAAUCUUAUGCUGUAUCAGGACUGCAGCAGUGAGACAUCAUAAUUACAGUACAACAACUGUGUGUUUUUAAAAAACAAGUCUUUUCCAAUAUGGGUAUAUUUUCACACAAACACAAUUGGGAAUGUUUUAUGGAUGUGGAAACUUGAGUGGUAAUCUCACCAUUGCCAGUUUAUUCUAAAUGGCAUCAACAGAAAUGCUAAUUGUUUUUUUGAUAGCUGAAUUGUUCCAUAGAAUUGAAUCAUCUUUAUCAGCAGAAACAUGACAUGCAGAAAUGCCCAUUUUGUGCCUCUUGAAGUGGCUGAAGAACCCAUGAACUGGUUAAGUAAUGGCUAAUUCUUCAUCCCAGUCCCACUCUGACCUUUUUUCUCUUUGGCCACUUACACUGUUUAAAUGAAGCUCAAUGGAAACUAAAGGGACAGUACUUCAUCUUUCGAUUGGGCAAUUUACAGCCUUCCAGAUUCAAUAUUGAGUUCAACAAUUUCAAAUCGUAAAAACUGCAGCCAUUUUCAACUUCCUUAGAUCUUUUCUUUCUUGUUCCAUUACCAUUCCCUUUGCCCUUACCUCAUCAUUUCUUUUGCAAUAUAACCUCUCCUGCCUUCCACCCUAUGACAGAUCUUCACUGUUGUUCUUUCUUUCUCUCCCUCCUUUUCCUCCCUCUGUAUUUGCGUAAAACUUGUUACAUCAAUAACCCUUGCCAGUCCUGGUGAAAGGUCAUCGACCUGAAAUAUUAACUUUGUUUCUCUCUUCACAGAUGCUGUAUCACCAGCUGAGUGUUUCCAGCAACUUCUGUUUAUAUUUCAGACUUUAGCAUCUGCGGUAUUUUGCUUAUGUUGAAAUAAUGACCAGCUUCAGAUGUUGGAAAAUUAUAGAAAUUUAAGCAGAGCAACAGAUUUGUGAACCCCCACUGAUUGCCUCAGCUAUGUCCUCAUGUUGGAAUAAAGCUAUGAAAUUAGAAGCCAAAUAUUUGUGCUUCUGCAUGUGAUUAACCUCCAAGAUUGAAAUCAGAAAUAAUUAAACAGCUUAUGAAUGGAUUUUUAAAAUUGUGUUCGUUGUUCACUGUGAUGCUUGUAGUAAAAAUGAUUUCACCUUA